UACGUAGGUGGCAAGCGUUGUCCGGAUUUACUGGGUGUAAAGGGCGUGCAGCCGGGAAGACAAGUCAGAUGUGAAAUCCCGCGGCUCAACCGCGGAACUGCAUUUGAAACUGUUUUUCUUGAGUACCGGAGAGGUCAUCGGAAUUCCUUGUGUAGCGGUGAAAUGCAUAGAUAUCACGCAGAACUCCGAUUGCGAAGGCAGCGUACCGGCAUCCAACUGACGCUGAGGCACGAAAGCGUGGGGAUCAAACAGG
rnacentral:rRNA from 1 species